GUGAGGGAAAGGUGAAAAGGACCCCGGGAGGGGAGUGAAAGAGAACCUGAAACCUUGUGCUUACAAGCACUCAAAGCCCGUUAAAGGGUGAUGAGGUACUUUUUGUAGAACGGUCCGGCGAGUUAUUGUUUCAUGCAAGGUUAAGGAACUGGAGUUCCGCAGCCGAAGGGAAACCGAGUCUGAAAAGGGCGUAUGAAGUAUGGGGCAAUAGACCCGAAACCGGGUGACCUAUCCAUGAGCAGGUUGAAGUGGAGGUAAAACUCCAUGGAGGACCGAACCCACGCCUGUUGAAAAAGUCGGGGAUGACUUGUGGAUAGCGGAGAAAUUCCAAUCGAACUCGGAGAUAGCUGGUUCUCCCCGAAAUAGCUUUAGGGCUAGCGUCAUGUUAGAUUACCGGAGGUAAAGCACUGAAUGGACUAGGGGCCGCGAGGUUACCGAACCCUAUCAAACUAAGAAUGCCGGAUAAUUGAUGCAUGGCAGUCAGACUACGUGAGAUAAGUCUCGUGGUCAAAAGGGAAACAGCCCAGAUCCACAGCUAAGGUCCCUAAUAGAUGCUAAGUGUAAAAUGAUGUGGAGUUGCACAGACAAUCAGGAUGUUGGCUUAGAAGCAGCCACACAUUCAAAGAGUGCGUAAUAGCUCACUGAUCGAGUGGCUCUGCGCAGAAGAUAUAACGGGGCUAAGCAUCUAACCGAAGCUUGGGCAGCGCAUGCGCUGGGUAGGGGAGCGUUCUUAUUGGGGCGAAGCAAGAGCGGAAGCACUUGUGGACUGAUAAGAAGUGAGAAUGCCGGAAUAAGUAGCGAGAAUUAUGUGGGAAUCAUAAUGGUCGAAAAUCUGAGGUUUCUUGGGGAAGGUUCGUCCGCCCAAGGUAAGCCGGGAGCUAAGGCGAGGCCGAAAGGCGUAGUCGAUGCACAUACGGUGGAAAUUCCGUAGCCGCUGACAUUUAAACCACAGUGACACUUUGAGAUAGGAGAUCCCGGGCGAUGGUUGCCCCGGGCGUAAGGGACCGAAAUUAUAGUAGGGAAGUCUUCGAUGCUCAGAGGCAAGAAAAGCUGUGGCGUAUACUAAAGCGCCCGUACCGCAAACCGACACAGGUAGAUGAGGAGAGAAUCCUAAGACCAACGGGAGAAGGGUUGUCAAGGAACUAGGCAAAUUGGACUCGUAACUUCGGGAGAAGAGUCGCCCUCAGCAAUGAGGGUCGCAGUGAAAAGGCCCAAGCGACUGUUUAACAAAAACACAGGUCUCUGCUAAAUCGAAAGAUGAAGUAUAGGGGCUGACGCCUGCCCGGUGCUGGAAGGUUAAGAGGAGAGGUUAGCGCAAGCGAAGCUUUGAUCUGAAGCCCCAGUAAACGGCGGCCGUAACUAUAACGGUCCUAAGGUAGCGAAAUUCCUUGUCAGGUAAGUUCUGACCCGCACGAAUGGCGUAACGAUUUG
rnacentral:rRNA from 1 species